rnacentral:lncRNA from 1 species
AUGAACAAAGCAAGAGGAAGGGGGAGGGCCCCUUGGUGCUAUUUUCAGCCAUUAUUAACAGAGAUCAAAAGCAGCAGCACAAAGUCAGAGCCCAUCGAAGGGUACAGGGCUGCGAUCCCAGCCGGGAGCGGAUGCUGGUGGGAUGGGGUCACGCGUCCGGACGCCUGGGAUCCCUGUGCUCUGCUGGAAACACCCCGCAGGCUGCAGCAACUCGUGCAGCAGGCUUCAGAUUUGAGCCUGGGAGCCCAAGGCGCAGUCUCGCCCCGACACGUGGGUGUGCGUAGCAGAAUCUGAGCAAGUCCCUCCAGCAGCAGGGAAAGGCAGAAUUAAGAAAAUGCUGGCCCACAGAUUAAAUAGUGGAUUUGUUCACCAGUUUGGGAGGAAGCAGCAGAUCUCCCAACGUGCACAACUGCAAGUAAAGCUCUGGUGAAGGGGACAUGUGCAAGGCUGCAGGAAGCCCAUCCAACAGCCAAGGCACUGGGUGAUUCUGAAAGGAUCACAUCAGGACUUUGGGAUUAAAUCAAGUGAUGAGGAUGCUACUUUUCCUUCUUUGGCGCCCAUUCCUUGCAUCAGGUGCCUUUCUAUUUCAGAAAUGGGAGUUACGAAAACAAUAUAUUCCCAUUAUCUAGCCGUCUUUUCCCAGUAUUUCAAGACUUGCCAUGAGGGUCAGAUGCAGAUCAUACUCAGUAUAUCCUUGUCCUUUGCAAUGGCAUCAAUCUGCACAUGUGAAAGAUGUGAAGACUUCGUUAUAGCUUAAGCAUUCCCUAUCUUUCCUUGCAAGCCCCAUUUCCUACCCCUCUGAUCAUUCCUGCUGCCUUCCCUCUCACCCACCUGUGGCUCUGAGACACCAAAAUCUUCUGCUGAAGGGCAGCACACAUUGACUCCAUGCAUCUCACAGCCUCGUGCUGCACUGCACA